rnacentral:rRNA from 1 species
GAUGAACGCUGGCGGCGUGCCUAAUACAUGCGAGUCGAGCGAACGGACGAGAAGCUUGCUUCUCUGAUGUUGGCGGCGGACGGGUGAGUAACACGUGGAUAACCUACCUAUAAAACUGGGAUAACCUCGGGAAACCGGAGCUAAUACCGGAUGAUAUUUUGAACCGCAUGGUUCAAAAGUGAAAGACGGUCUUGCUGUCACUUAUAGAUGGAUCCGCGCUGCAUUAGCUAGUUGGUAAGGUAACGGCUUACCAAGGCAACGAUGCAUAGCCGACCUGAGAGGGUGAUCGGCCACACUGGAACUGAGACACGGUCCAGACUCCUACGGGAGGCAGCAGUAGGGAAUCUUCCGCAAUGGGCGAAAGCCUGACGGAGCAACGCCGCGUGAGUGAUGAAGGUCUUCGGAUCGUAAAACUCUGUUAUUAGGGAAGAACAUAUGUGUAAGUAACUGUGCACAUCUUGACGGUACCUAAUCAGAAAGCCACGGCUAACUACGUG